AGUGAACGCUGGCGGUAUGCCUAACACAUGCAAGUCGAACGGCAGCACAGUAAGAGCUUGCUCUUACGGUUGGCGAGGGGCGGACGGGUGAGGAAUACAUCGGAAUCUACUUUUUCUUGGGGGAUAACGUAGGGAAACUUACGCUAAUACCUCAUACGACCUACGGGUUAAAUCAAUGGAUCUUCGGACCUUUCCCGAUUCAAUUAGCCGAUGUCGGAUUCGCUAGUUGGCAGGGUAAAGGCCCACCAAGGCAACGAUCCGUAGCUGGUCUGAGAGGAUGAUCAGCCACACUGGAACUGAGACACGGUCCAGACUCCUACGGGAGGCAGCAGUGGGGAAUAUUGGACAAUGGGCGAAAGCUUGAUCCAGCCAUACCGCGUGGGUGAAGAAGGCCUUCGGGUUGUAAAGCCCUUUUGUUGGGAAAGAAAAGCAGCAGGUUAAUACCCCGCUGUUCUGACGGUACCCAAAGAAUAAGCACCGGCUAACUUCGUG
rnacentral:rRNA from 1 species